rnacentral:rRNA from 1 species
CCAAUAGCGUAUAUUAAAGUUGCUGCAGUUAAAAAGCUCGUAGUUGAAUUUCGGGACUAAUAUGUCGGUCGUGCAUCGGUACGUACUGGUAUUUUUGGUUUCUCCCUUCUGACGAACCUUGAUGUCAUUAAUUUGGUGUCUUGGGAAAUCAGGACUGUUACUUUGAAAAAAUUAGAGUGUUUAAAGCAGGCUCACGCUUG